rnacentral:rRNA from 1 species
CCUACGGGUGGCAGCAGUGAGGAAUAUUGGUCAAUGGGCGGAAGCCUGAACCAGCCAAGUAGCGUGCGGGAUGACGGCCCUACGGGUCGUAAACCGCUUUUGUACGGGGGUAAAACCCUCCACGUGUGGCGGUCUGCAGGUUCCGUGCGAGUAAGGGCCGGCUAAUUCCGUGCCAGCCACCGCCGUUAUACGGAAGGACCGAGCGUUAACCGGAUUCAUUGGGUGUAAAGGGAGCGUAAGCGGGCGUUCAAAUUCGCUGUAAACUGUCGCGGCUCAACCCCGCCCCGCAGUUGAAACUGGCCGCCUUGAGUGCACAACAGGCAGGCGGAAUUCGUGGUGUAGCGGUGAAAUGCAUAGAUAUCACGCGGAACCCCGAUUGCGAAGGCAGCCUGCCGGGGCGCGACUGACGCUGAGGCUCGAAGGUGCGGGUAUCAAACAGGAUUAGAUACCCGAGUAGUC